UACGGGGGGGGCAAGCGUUGUUCGGAAUUACUGGGCGUAAAGGGCUCGUAGGCGGCCAACUAAGUCAGACGUGAAAUCCCUCGGCUUAACCGGGGAACUGCGUCUGAUACUGGUUGGCUUGAGUGUGGGAGAGGGAUGCGGAAUUCCAGGUGUAGCGGUGAAAUGCGUAGAUAUCUGGAGGAACACCGGUGGCGAAGGCGGCAUCCUGGACCAAUUCUGACGCUGAGGAGCGAAAGCCAGGGGAGCAAACGGG
rnacentral:rRNA from 1 species